rnacentral:rRNA from 1 species
GUGGGGAAUAUUGGUCAAUGGCCGAGAGGCUGAACCAGCCAAGUAGCGUGCAGGACGACGGCCCUACGGGUUGUAAACUGCUUUUGCGGGAGGAUAAAGGACACUACGUGUAGUGUUUUGCAGGUAUCCCGUGAAUAAGGACCGGCUAAUUCCGUGCCAGCAGCCGCGGUAAUACGGAAGGUCCGGGCGUUAUCCGGAUUUAUUGGGUUUAAAGGGAGCGCAGGCGGACUGCUAAGCGUGCCGUGAAAGCGCGGGGCUCAACCCCGUACAGCGGCGCGAACUGGCGGUCUUGGUUGCGGGAAGGGGAGGCGGAACUCGUGGUGUAGCGGUGAAAUGCAUAGAUAUCACGAAGAACUCCGAUCGCGAAGGCAGCCUCCCGGCCCGUUAACGACGCUCAUGCUCGAAGGCGCGGGUAUCAAACAGG